CCGAAAAUCUAGCCCAUCAACCCACUAUACCUAAAUCUUAAAACUAAAAUAUUUUUAUAAUAAAGUAAAGACGAUUGAAAAAUUAACAAGAGCAAUAAAAAUGUACCGCAAGGGAUGGUUGAAAUAGAAGUGAAAUAAAAUUUUUAAGCCUAAAAAAGUAGAGCUCACCCCUCGUACCUUUUGCAUCAUGGUUUAACUAGUUUAAUUAAGCAUAACGACUUAAAGUUUAACUUCCCGAAACUAAGUGAGCUACUCCAGGACAGCCCAAGGGCCAACCCCCCGACGUUGUAAAGUCGCGGGAAGAUCCUGAAGUAGUGGUGACAUACCUAACGAACAUAGUGAUAGCUGGUUACUCAGGAAAAGAAUUUUAGUUCAACCUAAAGAACCCAAAGUACUAAAAACACAAAUUUGUCUUUAGAGCAAUUCAAUCAAGGAACAGCUUGUUUGAAUCAGGACACAACCUUAACCAUAGGAUAAUGGAGCCCAGAAUACAACUAAGUGGGCCUAAAAGCAGCCAUCUAGCAAAAGCGUUAAAGCUUACCUGUUUUCCAAAGAAUGCCCCAUAUUUUACAGAAUCCCUCAACAGUACCGAGUAUAUCUAUAUUUAUAGAAAAUUUUAUGUUAAAAGUANUAANAAGNNNNNNCNNUUCUCCUNNNNGNNAGUAUACUCCAGNNANNCCCCCCCNNUNNNNANNANCNCCCCCCCCCAAGUAGUAACCUACAAGAAAAACCUCCUUAACAACCUGUUAACCUAACACAAGAGCAUUCCAGGAAAGAUUAAAAGAAAAAGAAGGAACUCGGCAAACUUCUGCCCCGCCUGUUUACCAAAAACAUCGCCUCUUGAGUUAUAUAAGAGGUCCAGCCUGCCCAGUGACUUGUUUAACGGCCGCGGUAUCCUAACCGUGCGAAGGUAGCGUAAUCACUUGUUCUUUAAAUAAGGACUAGUAUGAAAGGCAUCACGAGGGCCAAGCUGUCUCCUUUCUCUAAUCAGUGAAACUAAUCUUCCCGUGAAGAAGCGGGAAUAUUCUUAUAAGACGAGAAGACCCUAUGGAGCUUUAAAUUAAACGCCACCUACAUUACCCUUUCAAAUUCCAGAAAACCAACAAAUACAAUGAACCCCUGGCUAUAAAUUUUAGGUUGGGGCGACCGCGGAGAAAAACCCAUCCUCCGCAUUGUUAAAAAAUCAUCUUAACAAAAAGCAACAGCUUUAAGUAUCAAUAAAAUUGACAUCCAUUGACCCAUUUACUUGAUCAACGAACCAAGUUACCCUAGGGAUAACAGCGCCAUCCACUUUAAGAGCUCAUAUCGACAAGUGGGCUUACGACCUCGAUGUUGGAUCAGGGUAUCCAAGUGGUGCAGCCGCUACUUAAGGUUCGUUUGUUCAACGAU
rnacentral:rRNA from 1 species